AGAGAGAGAGCGGCGUACGGGUGCGUAACACGUGUGCAACCUACCUUUAUCAGGAGGAUAGCCUUUCGAAAGGAAGAUUAAUACUCCAUAAUAUAUUAGAUGGCAUCAUUUAAUAUUGAAAACUCCGGUGGAUAGAGAUGGGCACGCGCAAGAUUAGAUAGUUGGUGAGGUAACGGCUCACCAAGUCAUUGAUCUUUAGGGGUCCUGAGAGGGAGAUCCCCCACACUGGUACUGAGACACGGACCAGACUCCUACGGGAGGCAGCAGUGAGGAAUAUUGGACAAUGGGUGAGAGCCUGAUCCAGCCAUCCCGCGUGAAGGAUGACGGUCCUACGGAUUGUAAACUUCUUUUGUAUAGGGAUAAACCCAGAUACGUGUAUCUGGCUGAAGGUACUAUACGAAUAAGCACCGGCUAACUCCGUGCCAGCAGCCGCGGUAAUACGGAGGGUGCAAGCGUUAUCCGGAUUUAUUGGGUUUAAAGGGUCCGCAGGCGGGCCGAUAAGUCAGUGGUGAAAUCUCAUAGCUUAACUAUGAAACUGCCAUUGAUACUGUCGGUCUUGAGUAAAUUAGAGGUAGCUGGAAUAAGUAGUGUAGCGGUGAAAUGCAUAGAUAUUACUUAGAACACCAAUUGCGAAGGCAGGUUACCAUGAUUUAACUGACGCUGAGGGACGAAAGCGUGGGGAGCGAACAGGAUUAGAUACCCUGGUAGUCCACGCCGUAAACGAUGCUAACUCGUUUUUGGGGCGCAAGCUUCAGAGACCAAGCGAAAGUGAUAAGUUAGCCACCUGGGGAGUACGUUCGCAAGAAUGAAACUCAAAGGAAUUGACGGGGGCCCGCACAAGCGGUGGAUUAUGUGGUUUAAUUCGAUGAUACGCGAGGAACCUUACCAAGACUUAAAUGGGAAAUGACAGGUUUAGAAAUAGAUCCUUCUUCGGACAUUUUUCAAGGUGCUGCAUGGUUGUCGUCAGCUCGUGCCGUGAGGUGUUAGGUUAAGUCCUGCAACGAGCGCAACCCCUGUCACUAGUUGCUAACAUUCAGUUGAGGACUCUAGUGAGACUGCCUACGCAAGUAGAGAGGAAGGUGGGGAUGACGUCAAAUCAUCACGGCCCUUACGUCUUGGGCCACACACGUAAUACAAUGGCCGGUACAGAGGGCAGCUACACAGCGAUGUGAUGCAAAUCUCGAAAGCCGGUCUCAGUUCGGAUUGGAGUCUGCAACUCGACUCUAUGAAGCUGGAAUCGCUAGUAAUCGCGCAUCAGCCAUGGCGC
rnacentral:rRNA from 1 species